UAAAGACAUUGGGAGUGUUGCAAAAAAGGAAACUAGGUCUAUUUAUAUUCGUUAUCAGAGCGCACCACAAAUCAAUUAUUUCCUUUCUCUUUCUUCUUCUUCUUCAGAUUAUUUCUCCAGUUACUUGCGACAAAGAAAAAAUUUAGUCUUAAGAUAGAGUGCGUCAGUUUUUAGAGAAGAGUUAGUACGGCUCACAACACACAGCAGUGAAGACUAACUCUGUCCGGAUGAAAGAGUUGCUUGAAAAGGAGACUAUUCCCAUGGAAACAGAGUCUACACGGACGGGGUAAGCUCCUCUUUUCUUGAUCUUUUUUAAAUUACCAUAACCUGAUUUGUAAAGUUGUUUUCACUACAAUGUUUAAAAAAAAAAACUUUCAAACUUGGGGGAAAAUUUCUAUAUUAUUUGGUUGAUAAUGAAAACUUAAUGUGUAAUUUGUGAAAAGAAUUAGAAGUUACAUCCGGUCAUUGAUAGUUAGAAAUUGUAUAUUUCUUUGGUUAAUAAAAGUUAGAGAUUGUAUAUUUUUUUUUGUCUUGACACUUGUGAUCAUUUAGUUCUUCGUAAUCAGUCUCCUAAUGAAGCAAUUUUCCCUCUUGUUUUUUUUUCUUUCUAAAAUUAACAACAUCACAUUUGCUUUCUUGUUUUGUGUUUCUUACUUGUUUUAACUUUCUUCUUGUGUUUGUUUCUCUUAUUGGCUAAGAGACAAAUCUGCUAGUGGGAAAGGGAAUGAUGGUAAUAAUGCAAAGAUGAUCAAAAGCUCAUAUGGACAAAGUCUACACCGGUACAUCUAAACGGAUUUUUUUUUGGGCAAAGUUGCUUUUAUUGGAUAAGAGACGCAAAUCAAAAGCUUAUAUGGACAAGGUUGAGCUAGAGCACUCAAACAUACGUGUUGAUAGUCUGUGUUGGAUGAGCAUCUCUCAUUCCCUCCGCUUCCGAGGAUCAAUCAACCAUCUUCUUCAACAAGAUGUAAGCUAACAAUGCUCACUUAAAGAUUAGUUACAUGUUUCUGAAGAUUUGUUUGGUUCUUUAUUGAAUAUUCUCUGUUUUGUCGCUCUACUUAUUAUCAGUUUUUUCCUUUACUUGUCACUACUGCUGCUGAGGUUAAACUUCCUCCUACACAUCCUAUCAGAUUGGCUUUGGCGUUGAACUUCUCUGUCUUCUACUACGAGAUCAUGAACUCACUCACAAGAAAGGGUUUUAGAGAUUGUUUAGUAACUAAGUACCUUAGAAGACUCAUACGUUAUUUGAGAUUGUUUUUACUUCUUAAAUUAAGGGCAUGCCCACCUUGGUGAAUAAAUAGUGAAAUGUAGAGUUUCCACUGUUUCAUGUAUCAUUAUUGUGUAUGUUGUAAUCUGGUUUGACCGUUUUGAGUGUGUUUGCAUCAUCCUGAUGCAUGUCUCAGACACUGUCUUCUUGUUUGUAAUUCGAAACUCGUUACUGUCUUUUCCACCCAUUGCUCUACUUUUCAUACCAUUUGUCAUGGAUCCAAAUAUAAAGUUAUAAUCAAGCUUAACUCUUCUGAACAUUUUAUUGAUUUAGCGUCAAACUCCAAAAGAACAUGUAAAAAAAGAAAAAUAUGAAUUAUUUGUUGAAUGAUGAUGAUGAUUAUGGUGAUGGACUUUUUUUAUAUUUAAGCGAAUGAUGAUGAUAUGAGAGAGCAAGUGCUUUCAAAGAUUAUAUAGACAAGGAAUUAAGAUUUGAGUCAGACAUAAAGGGUGAAUAGUUUUCUCGAGUCUGACACAAAACACGUGAAGAAAGAAGUCCUUUGGUAGUGUGCUAACUUUAUUUCCCACCUUUAUUUGGUUCUCUGUGCAUGUGACCAUUAUUGGUCGUAUCUCUUGACUCAUUCCUUCACAGUUCACACACAUACAUACUGUGUGUGUAUUUAUACUCAAUAGUUCUGUAGUUCAUAUGUCUACUUGUGUCCAAAUGUCAAUCUCUCUCAAGUUCCUUCUUUGGUCAUCUCUUGCUCUCUUGCUUCUUCAAACAGGUUUUGGAGAAAAAUGUGACAGCAGAAGCAGCGAACCAACGGUGAGACAGACGCAGGUGAAGCUGGGAGAAGGAAAGAAGUUCAGAGUUGAAGUGAUGAACAAAUGUCCAAUGUGUCCAAUCAUCAACCUCCGUUUGAAAUGCCAAGGCUUCCCUCAGUCUCUUGUGGACCCCACGCUCCUCCGCGUUCUCUCCUCUUCCGCAGGGAACUGCGUGGUCAACGACGGCUUGCCGUUGAGCCCAAUGGAGACACUCUCUUUUAACUACUCCAGCUCGUAUCAGUUUGCUCUAAGUCCUCUUUCUUGGUCUUUUCAAUGCGAGUGAAUCGUCAAUAAAAUAAAUCAAUAAAAGUAGUUCUCUUUGCUCAUCAA